AGAAUAGAAAAGCAGCAUUCUGAACAGCAAUGCUCAUCACAUAAACAUGAAGUUUCCUCCAAAAGGAAUGAUGACUAAUGCUUUGAGGAAACAGCAGACGUCAGACAGCAAGCCCAGAAAAACCUGCCAGCACCAAGAGGGUGUCCUCAACAGGCGCCUGGGGGACAUAUUAUUCUAACUAAAGAGACCAGAGCUUCCCCAGGAAGGGAAGAGGAGAGAAAUGAAGAACGUCUGUGUUCAUGUUUGCCAAAAACAAAAGUCUGAGAAAUCUCUGAGAGACUCUACAUGGGAGGAAAAGUGCAACCCACUGGAGAAAGAGAGGGACUCCGAGGAAGGAGAGAGAGAAGAGCAUCAAGCACAAAUGAUGAUCUCCUAGGACAGUGGCAGCUUCUGAGAAUGCACAGGAAAGUGACCAGGGAAAGAAUGAUUCCAUCUCCAGGAAUCCCUGGUGAUCUUCAGAGCCCAGACAGGACCCUGCUGGGCCAUGGUAACUGAGAAACUGAGAAGCAGAUACAGUGGUCCCUAUGUUGGCAACCUCAGCUGAAGAGGAACAACUCUCUCUAUAAUCAAGACUUAAUCUUGGCCUGGUGUGCCUCAUUUUUAUAGGACUUCUGAAACCAGAAAUCACCAGCGUGGGGAGAGAACAUUAAAGGCAGAGGUGUCUCUUAUAAGCACAACGUGUGACCAGGUAAUACUGUCUGGAUUAGCAGCUGUACAGCCUAACUAAGCCCUGGAGCUACAAUUAUCUGGUCGCAUUAAACUGAAAUCACCUGAAAAACUUCACACUGAACAAGCCUUUGGAAAUGUCUAAUCUGCCAGUUUACACCCAGAAGUGAAAGUGGAAUUCACUUGUUAAAGACAAGAAAACAAAAGUUUUCUGCCAGGAAGAGUCUCAUCUUAGAACCAGUAUAGGGUCUGAAGACAUUUCUGCAAUUUAUGUUUAUGCCAUUCUUUCACUUUUAUUUAAAAAGGAGAUUUAACCUGACCAUUCUCUUUGAAGCCGAUGUCCCAAGUAUAUAUGUUUGAUGAGGGUACAGAAGACAUAAGGAAUAAAACUGCAUUGCCACAGAGGGAAUACACGGCUCCAGAUACAAGGCUUUAUGCUAAUUUUAGCAAAAUGUAUGUAUCUUUUUACAUACAUAAAGUUAUGGCACUAUAUAAAGAGAUCCUUAAAUGUGACAUACACUGAA
rnacentral:lncRNA from 1 species